rnacentral:misc_RNA from 1 species
AAUGGUUUUUAUAUGUGCCAGUUCUGAGUCCCACCAUGCUUCCCAACUUUCUUCACCCUUAACACCAAUUCCACCUCGGUAAAAAAGCCAAUUGGUCCAUUCCCUGAAAUCCUCCACGGUCUUCUGCCACUCAAACCCUGACGGGUUGAACAGAUAGGGAGCAAAAAGCCAAGAUAUUGCCAUGAACCAACUGCUAAGAGUUACAAGGAUGUAUGCUAACGAACCACCUGAACUAUAUCCAUAGGCCAUGUAUACAACCAACAGAAGCACAACUUCCAAUCCUUUAACAAAAUGGCUGCGGG